rnacentral:rRNA from 1 species
GACGAACGCUGGCGGCGUGCCUAACACAUGCAAGUCGAGCGGGGUGGUCUGUCCACUGAGCGCUUGUGAGAACAAGUGCUGAGUGGACGGAUUACUUAGCGGCGGACGGGUGAGUAACACGUGAGCAACCUAUCCUUCACCGGGGGAUAACACCUGGAAACGGGUGCUAAUACCGCAUACGCUGGUUGGAUCGCAUGGUUUGACCAGGAAAACUCAGGUGGUGAAGGAGGGGCUCGCGGGCCAUUAGCUAGUUGGCGGGGUAACGGCCCACCAAGGCAACGAUGGAUAGCCGGACUGAGAGGUUGAACGGCCACACUGGGACUGAGACACGGCCCAGACUCCUACGGGAGGCAGCAGUGGGGAAUAUUGCGCAAUGGGGGAAACCCUGACGCAGCAACGCCGCGUGAGCGAAGAAGGCCUUCGGGUCGUAAAGCUCUGUCAUCAGGGACGAAGAAGUGACGGUACCUGAGGAGGAAGCCCCGGCUAACUACGUG